rnacentral:snRNA from 1 species
AAAAAAAUGCCAAAAACCAGUAUCGUAGCCAAUGAGGCUUAUCCAAGGUGCAAUUAUUGCUAAUCGAAAACUUUUCCCAAUACCCUGCCAUGACGUCUUAAAAUAUAGUCAGCAUUGGGAAUUUUUUACAGUCUCUACAGAGA